UUGUAUAAACUGGAGGUGCACAGUACAUACUGUAAUGUUAAAUGACUGACUCAGUUAACUAAACUUACUGGAGGCCUUAAUUCUCUUCAUGUCAGCGCUCCUUUGUGCUUUCUUUUUUGCCAUUUUCUCUGAUUAUCUUGACUUUUACCCCCUCCCCACGUUUUCACUUUCGAAACUUUUUGUUCAUAUAUGCAGCUUCCAGUACUACGAACAGUUAACAAUCUCAUUGUUGGUGCCAAAAGAAGGACCUGGAGAGACGGGGAACGUGGAGAGUGUUGAGUCUUGAAAAACGUGAUGUCGGAGAGAUCAGUGCCAGUAUUUAACUACGGCAAGGUCUACAACAUAACUGAUAUAAUAUGCUGGGAGGGUGGUGGGCUACGUUAGGUGCCAUUGUGUUGCUUUGGCUGCGGACUGCAAGAAGUUGUGCUUGGCAUGAGGCCCAGAAGCAAGACUCUGUUUCAUGCAACCCACCUCUUCCCCAUCUCCCCAUCAGCUCUAUUGAAACCUCAGUCUUCAUCUUCGCUACCACCAGCUUCUAGACUGGGGAGGGUGGUGUCCUAAGUCCUAUCACCACUGGAAUUCCUUUUUUAAAUCUCCAAAUACAUUAAUCCCUCUAUCACAAUAAAUCAUGUUAACUUCUUCCAA